rnacentral:pre_miRNA from 1 species
AGAGGGAUAGCUGGGUCAAAUGGUGGUACCAUUCCAAGUUUUCUGAGGAAUAUCCAUACUGCUUUCUAAAGUGUUUGCACCAACUUGCAGUCCCACCUGCAUU